UCGAGAAUCUUCCGCAAUGGGCGAAAGCCUGACGGAGCGACGCCGCGUGACUGAUGAAGCUCUUCGGAGCGUAAAAGUCUUUUCUUGGGGAAGAAGUUUAUUGACGGUACCCAAGGAAUAAGGGGCUCCUAAUCACGUGCCAGCAGGAGCGGUAAUACGUGAGCCCCAAGCGUUACCCGGAAUCACUGGGCGUAAAGGGUGUGUAGGCGGCAAUGUUAGUCUCUUGUGAAAGCCCGCGGCUCAACCGCGGAUCUGCGAGAGAAACGGCAUAGCUAGAGGAUGCGAGAGGUUAAGGGAACUCAUGGUGUAGGGGUGAAAUCCGUUGAUAUCAUGGGGAACACCAAAAGCGAAGGCACUUAACUGGCGCACUCCUGACGCUGAGACACGAAAGCGUGGGUAGCGAAUGGGAUUAGAUACCCCAGUAGUCCACGCCCUAAACGCUGUCCGCUGGCUUUUCGGAGUAUCGACCCUUCUGAGAGGCGAAGCUAACGCGUUAAGCGGACCGCCUGGGUAAGUACGAAGCGCAAGCUUAAAAA
rnacentral:rRNA from 1 species